UACGUAGGUGGCAAGCGUUGUCCGGAAUUACUGGGUGUAAAGGGCGUGUAGGCGGGGAUGCAAGUCAGAUGUGAAAUUCCGGGGCUCAACCCCGGCACUGCAUCUGAAACUGUGCAGCUUGAGUGCAGGAGAGGUUAUCGGAAUUCCCGGUGUAGCGGUGAAAUGCGUAGAGAUCGGGAGGAACACCAGUGGCGAAGGCGGGUAACUGGACUGCAACUGACGCUGAGGCGCGAAAGUGUGGGGAGCAAACAGGAUUAGAUA
rnacentral:rRNA from 1 species